GAAUAUGAUGAGAAUUAUUGUCGCCCCAGUAUUACGAGCUUCGUAUACGUACGUAGUUCCAUGCUGAUAGACAUAUUCAUAAUCUGAUUC
rfam:Helianthus annuus linkage group 14, whole genome shotgun sequence.